CUUAUUCUUAAAAUUAUUCUUGGAACAAUUGGAUCUAUAUCAUUAAAAGAUCCAAACUUUAGAUAUAUACCAUGAACCCCACAUGUCAUUGACUCAUGUGGACCCACAUGUAAGUGAGAUAGUAAUGGUAUGGAUCCAAAGUGGUGAUCUUUUAAUGGUAUGGAUCCAAAUUUCCCAUUAUUCUUUUAUGAACAUUAUCGCGAUCAGGUCCUGCCCAUCCCACCCCAACUGACCCACCGCCACAGAAGCUCAUCAAGCAUCGGACGGCCUGUAGUUGUAGACGUGGAAGGUGGCGCGUGGGGCCACGGCCUCGAGAAAGAUCCUGGCCGUCGCCUCCUGGGCCACCUCCGCCCGCUCCUUCUCCACCAGCGCCGCCGCUACCACGUCCCCGGCGGGCCCGCCUCCGGCCGCCACCAUCCCAAUGAUGGCCGCCUGGACGGGGCCCAGCGUCGGGUUGUAGGCGGCGGACUCGAUGCAGCCCCCGGCGUAGAUCCUCCCGUCGCCGUCCGCCACCGCGAACCCCGAGGGGCACUUGCUGUAGGGCGCGUGCGCCGCCCGCGCGGCCGCCUCCGCGGCCUCCCUCAGGCGCGCGUCCAGGUCGCCGCGGGCGAAGCCAUUGGCGACCGGACCGCCCAGGUCGUUGCCGUGCGGCUCGAGGACGAGGGCCACGUCCUCGGGGAGGAGAUCGCGGGGCCCGAAGGGGCGCGGGAGGAGGGACGCCAGCGCGCGCCACUCCGGGGCGCGGCCCUCCGCGGCGUCGCUGGUGACGAGGAUCUGGACGGCCGCCGCGCCGCGCAUCUCCUGCAGGAACUGGCGGCAGUGGCCGCAGGGCAUGUGGGAGACGGCGACGGCGCGCAGCGCGGGCUCCCCCGCGGCGGCGGCGUUGGCCACGAGGAACUGCUCCGCGUGGACGGAGUGGCACAGCGGGAGGCCGCGGAACUCGAGGUUGACGCCGGCGUAGACGCGGCCGCUGGCGCCCAGCCCCACGGCGCCCACGCGGAACCGCGAGAUCGGGGCGCGCGCCCGCUCCAUCGCGGACGGGACCAGGAGCGGCAGCAGGUCUUGCACGGUCGCGACGCCGGCGGCCGCCGCCGCGCGCUCGGCCUCCUCCGCGCCCAUGACGAACCCCGUCAGCUCCACCGCCGUGGCGGCAGCCGGACCCGGCUUUGGCGCCGCCCGCUCCUCCCCCAUUGCUCAGAUCCAACUCUAACUAGGCUGCUGGUGUAUGAUUCGCUACUGCUAACAGCGUUUAGUCUCCUGACUUGGAACAGGGAAGUGCUUGGAUGUUUCCUUGAAGCUUGGAAAGGAGGCCGGGGCCAGGACCAGGAGGGAGGAGAAGCCAGAAGCGAUAGCUGGGGCCGGGGGCCUCUAUUGGCUGCGGCGCGAGGCAAUUUAUAACAGGAAAAAGGAGGACUAACGCAGCGAGUGUCAGUGUCACGUUAUUUCAUUUUUUUGGAUGGGUGUUCUACUUCUCUUCGUGUUUUAUACUCUAUAUUUUAUAAAAAGAAAAUCGUAGCAACAUAUUGACAUCUAGGUAGUGAUGAUAUAAUAAUAGAGUGUUUCGGUGUGAGACGGAAAAUCUGGGACCGAACCGAACACACGUGCCGCCAUUUUUUCUUUUUUAUUUUAGAUCGGCCCGGCAACCCAAGAUUGAUCUGAAGCCACCCAAUUCUGAAUUCUAGAAGUUUUUCUUAACUGUUGGCCAGAUUUGACCAAUAGUGAUGUGUUACCCAAAUGGUGGCGAUCAGAUUAGAUUACUAGACUUUGUGAGACUCCAAUCAAGCAGAUCCCGUCGGUGCCGUCUCGC
rnacentral:misc_RNA from 1 species